rnacentral:rRNA from 1 species
ACGUGGGCAACCUGCCUGUAAGACUGGGAUAACUCCGGGAAACCGGGGCUAAUACCGGAUAACUCUUGUCCCUUCAUGGGGACAAGCUGAAAGGCGGCAUCUCGCUGUCACUUACAGAUGGGCCCGCGGCGCAUUAGCUAGUUGGUGAGGUAACGGCUCACCAAGGCGACGAUGCGUAGCCGACCUGAGAGGGUGAUCGGCCACACUGGGACUGAGACACGGCCCAGACUCCUACGGGAGGCAGCAGUAGGGAAUCUUCCGCAAUGGACGAAAGUCUGACGGAGCAACGCCGCGUGAGCGAAGAAGGCCUUCGGGUCGUAAAGCUCUGUUGUUAGGGAAGAACAAGUACCGGAGUCACUGCCGGUACCUUGACGGUACCUAACCAGAAAGCCACGGCUAACUACGUGCCAGCAGCCGCGGUAAUACGUAGGUGGCAAGCGUUGUCCGGAAUUAUUGGGCGUAAAGCGCGCGCAGGCGGUCCUUUAAGUCUGAUGUGAAAGCCCACGGCUCAACCGUGGAGGGUCAUUGGAAACUGGGGGACUUGAGUGCA